AACGGCGACCACAUCAACUGUUUCACAAUGCGGAAUCCCCAUACAAAGUAUAGUAUAUUAAUAAACACUCGUAAUAUGCAGUCUUCUGUUUUGUUUUCGUUCUUGUUCUGUGGAUUGGGCCCUCGUUCAAAACUGAAAUCGGGUCAAACUUAAAGACAAAUAACGACGGCACACAAAAAAAUUAAGAAAAUAAACAAGACCGAAGAGCA